UACGAAGGGUGCAAACGUUGCUCGGAAUCAUUGGGCGUAAAGCGCACGUAGGCGGCUUCGCAAGUCGGGAUGUGAAAUCCCUCGGCUCAACCGAGGACGUGCAUCCGAAACUGCGGAGCUUGAGUACUGAAGAGGAUCGCGGAAUUCCCGGUGUAGAGGUGAAAUUCGUAGAUAUCGGGAGGAACACCGGUGGCGAAGGCGGGGUCUCUGGGCCGAUACUGACGCUGAGGAGCGAAAGCGUGGGGAGCGAACAGG
rnacentral:rRNA from 1 species